rnacentral:rRNA from 1 species
CAGCCGCCACGGGAAUACCAGCACCUCGAGUGGUCAGGAGGUUUAUUGGGCCUAAAGCAUCCGUAGCCGGUUGCAUAAGUUUUCGGUUAAAUCUAUGCGCUUAACGUAUAGGCCGCCGAAAAUACUGUGCAGCUAGGGAGUGGGAGAGGUACACGGUACUCGAUAGGAAGGGGUAAAAUCCUUUGAUCUAUUGAUGACCACCUGUGGCGAAGGCGGUGUACCAGAACACGUUCGACGGUGAGGGAUGAAAGCUGGGGGAGCAAACCGGAUUAGAUACCCGGGUAGUCCCUGUCUCUUAUAC